AUGGCCGCCACACCGGACGAGUUCCUGCGGGCGGGGGACGCGGAGCCCUUCUCCCCGUCGCUCUUCCUCGACCUGCCGCCAACGCCGUCGCCCCCGCGCGCCCCCGCCUCCGACGACCUCGACUUCAUCUCGCGCAUGCUCAUGGAGGAGGACAUCGACGACAGGUUCUUCUACCAGUACCCCGACCACCCCGCCAUCCUCUCCGCGCAGCACCGCUUCGCCCAGAUCAUCUCCGACUCCAACACCAACCCAUCCACCGACGACUCCGCCGUCGCCAGCUCCACCUUCUCCUCCGACUCUGCUACCGCCAGAUCGGCCUCCUCCUGCUCCGACUCUGCCACAAACACCGCCAAAUCGACCUCCUCCUCCCACUCCGCCACCACCAACACCGCCAACUCCACCUCCUGUUCCCCCUCACCCGGCGGCUUCGGCCCCGCCAAUCCCACCUGGCCUUACGAGCGAAUCGAUCUCUCCCAGCCCCUCCACUCCCCGCCAUACAUCGGCCUGGGCUUCCCCGUCGACGGUGCCAACAACCUCCUCUUUUCCGGCGUCAGCACGCCCACCUCGGGAUAUUUCGGGCACACUCCGGCGCUCUCCAGGGGCAACAGCAACCAUUUCGUCGCCCCCGCUGGCCAGAACGGCCGCAGCACGGGCAUUCAGAGCUUUGCGACAUUCUCGAAUAGUAGCGCCACCAAGGACGCCAAGACCUUGUCGAACAAUGCCACGGCGAAGGCGGCCAAGCCGGCUACUCAGGCCGCUUGCCGAGGUGGCCCAGGCACCCCGGCCUCGGCCUUCUUCUUCAAUGGCCAGACCGACGGUGACAUGGACAUGCUCAACAUGGCGUUUCGCAAGGGCAUGGAGGAGGCCAACAAGUUCUUGCCCACCAACAACACCCUCGACGCCAUUUCCAACAGGCCGGCACUGCGCGACUUGACCUGUGACCAGUUGAAGAAGGAGGAGGCGGAUAGACUCAGAAUGUUGAUGUUCAGUAAUGGCCGGGGGCGCAAGAACAGGCAUGGCGUGGAAGACUUGGAGGCGGAGGCUGGCCGGAGAAGCAAGCUGAUGAUGCCGGAACAGGAGGAAUCUGGGGUAGGCGAGAUGGUCGAGGAAAUAAUGCUUCACGGCCACGACAUCAUCAUGAAGGGGAUAGAGGAUCUGCAAAUAGCAAUGGGCACCGAGGCCGAGAAGAACCACAGGAAGGGCACCGGCAAGGCAGCGCGGGGGAGGCGGGGUGCAACCGAGGUCGACCUCCGCACCAUGCUCAUCCACUGUGCGCAGGCGGUGGCCACGGGCGACCACCGGGGAUCGAACGAGCUACUCAGGCAGAUUAAGCAACACUCGUCGCCUAAGGGGGAUGCCACACAGAGGCUGGCGUAUUGUUUCGCCGAGGGACUGGAAGCACGCCUUGCAGGCACGGGCAGCCAUGUGUAUCGGUCGCUCGUGGCCAAGAGCACCUCGGUCGGAGAGUUCCUCAGGGCCUACAAGCUCUACAUGGCAGCCAGCAGUUUCAGGAAGGUGAAUUUUAUUUUUGUUGGCAAGAUCAUCAUGGAUGCCAUGGUCGGGAAGAGCCGCUUGCACAUCGUGGAUUACAAUGUGGAAUAUGGAUUCCAGUGGCCAGAUUUGCUACAGAUGCUAGCGGAAAGGGAAGGCGGGCCGCCAGAGGUGAGGAUCACUGGCAUUGACGUCCCUCAGCCUGGGUUCCGCCCAGCCUUCCAGAUCGAGGAGACAGGCCGUCGGCUCAGCAAAUGUGCCCAAGAGUUUGGCGUGCCAUUCAGGUACCAUGGUAUACCCGCAAAGUUGGAGACAGUCCAUGCGGAGGACCUAAAUAUCGACCCAAAUGAGGUGCUCAUCGUCACCAGCCAGUGUGGUUUCAGCAACUUGAUGGACGAAAGUGUUAUCAUGGACAGGCAGGACAUCCCGAGCCCCAGAGACAUGGUCCUUACCAACAUUCGCAACAUGCGGCCUGAUGUGUUCAUUGACUGCGUUGUGAAUGGAACCUAUAGCGCGCCUUUCUUCGUGACACGAUUCCGGGAGGCACUCUUCACCUAUUCGGCGCAAUUCGACAUGCUGGAUGCGACCAUCCCCCGUGACAAUGACGACCGGCUGCUCAUCGAGCGGGAUAUCUUCGGGCCAUGUGCCCUGAAUGUCAUUGCCUGCGAGGAUGCAGAUCGGGUGGAUCGGCCUGAGACUUAUAAGCAAUGGCAGGUGCGGGGCCACCGGGCUGGGCUGAGGCAGGUGCCAUUGAGCUCGGCUGUUGUUAAGCUUGUGAAGGAUAAGGUUAAGAGCCUCUACCACAAGGACUUUCUCAUCGACGUGGAUAACCGUUGGUUGCUGCAGGGGUGGAAAGGGCGGGUACUCUAUGCCAUGUCGACAUGGGUAGCUGGUGACCAUGAUAUCUCCAAAUUUUAG
rnacentral:rRNA from 1 species